rnacentral:rRNA from 1 species
CUACGGGGUGCUCCAGUGAGGAAUAUUGCACAAUGGGGGGAACCCUGAUGCAGCAACGCCGCGUGGAGGAUGACGCAUUUCGGUGUGUAAACUCCUUUUAUAUGUCAAGAAAAUGACGGUAGCAUAUGAAUAAGCACCGGCUAACUCCGUGCCAGCAGCCGCGGUAAUACGGAGGGCGCAAGCGUUACUCGGAAUCACUGGGCGUAAAGGACGCGUAGGCGGGUUGGAAAGUCAGGUGUGAAAUCCUACAGCUUAACUGUAGAACUGCACUUGAAACUUCUAAUCUAGAGUAUGGGAGGGGGAGAUGGAAUUAGUGGUGUAGGGGUAAGAUCCGUAGAUAUCACUAGGAAUACCUAAAGCGAAGGCGAUCUCCUGGAACAUUACUGACGCUAAGGCGUGAAAGCGUGGGGAGCAAACAGGAUUAGAUACCCCAGUAGUC